rnacentral:rRNA from 1 species
CCUACGGGAGGCAGCAGUGGGGAAUAUUGGACAAUGGGGGAAACCCUGAUCCAGCGACGCCGCGUGGGUGAUGAAGGCCUUCGGGUUGUAAAGCCCUUUCGUCCACGAUGAUGAUGACAGUAGUGGAAGAAGAAGCUCCGGCUAACUCCGUGCCAGCAGCCGCGGUAAUACGGAGGGGGCUAGCGUUGCUCGGAAUUACUGGGCGUAAAGCGCACGUAGGCGGCGAUGCGAGUCAGGUGUGAAAGGCCUGGGCUUAACCCGGGAACUGCAUUUGAUACUGCAUUGCUAGAGUCCAAGAGAGGGUAGUGGAAUUCCCAGUGUAGAGGUGAAAUUCGUAGAUAUUGGGAAGAACACCAGUGGCGAAGGCGGCUACCUGGCUUGGUACUGACGCUCAGGUGCGAAAGCGUGGGGAGCGAACAGGAUUAGAUACCCUUGUAGUC